CGGGACACGUGGUAUCCUGUCUGAAUAUGGGGGGACCAUCCUCCAAGGCUAAAUACUCCUGACUGACCGAUAGUGAACCAGUACCGUGAGGGAAAGGCGAAAAGAACCCCGGCGAGGGGAGUGAAAAAGAACCUGAAACCGUGUACGUACAAGCAGUGGGAGCACGCUUAGGCGUGUGACUGCGUACCUUUUGUAUAAUGGGUCAGCGACUUAUAUUCUGUAGCAAGGUUAACCGAAUAGGGGAGCCGAAGGGAAACCGAGUCUUAACUGGGCGUUAAGUUGCAGGGUAUAGACCCGAAACCCGGUGAUCUAGCCAUGGGCAGGUUGAAGGUUGGGUAACACUAACUGGAGGACCGAACCGACUAAUGUUGAAAAAUUAGCGGAUGACUUGUGGCUGGGGGUGAAAGGCCAAUCAAACCGGGAGAUAGCUGGUUCUCCCCGAAAGCUAUUUAGGUAGCGCCUCGUGAAUUCAUCUCCGGGGGUAGAGCACUGUUUCGGCAAGGGGGUCAUCCCGACUUACCAACCCGAUGCAAACUGCGAAUACCGGAGAAUGUUAUCACGGGAGACACACGGCGGGUGCUAACGUCCGUCGUGAAGAGGGAAACAACCCAGACCGCCAGCUAAGGUCCCAAAGUCAUGGUUAAGUGGGAAACGAUGUGGGAAGGCCCAGACAGCCAGGAUGUUGGCUUAGAAGCAGCCAUCAUUUAAAGAAAGCGUAAUAGCUCACUGGUCGAGUCGGCCUGCGCGGAAGAUGUAACGGGGCUAAACCAUGCACCGAAGCUGCGGCAGCGACGCUGAUGCGUUGUUGGGUAGGGGAGCGUUCUGUAAGCCUGUGAAGGUGUGCUGUGAGGCAUGCUGGAGGUAUCAGAAGUGCGAAUGCUGACAUAAGUAACGAUAAAGCGGGUGAAAAGCCCGCUCGCCGGAAGACCAAGGGUUCCUGUCCAACGUUAAUCGGGGCAGGGUGAGUCGACCCCUAAGGCGAGGCCGAAAGGCGUAGUCGAUGGGAAACAGGUUAAUAUUCCUGU
rnacentral:rRNA from 1 species